rnacentral:rRNA from 1 species
AGUGAACGCUGGCGGUAGGCCUAACACAUGCAAGUCGAACGGCCGCACAGUAAGAGCUUGCUCUUACGGGUGGCGAGUGGCGGACGGGUGAGGAAUACAUCGCAAUCUACUUUUUCUUGGGGGACAACGUAGGGCAACUUACGCUAAUACCGCAUACGACCUACGGCUGAAAGCAGGGGAUCUUCGGACUUUGCGCGAUUCAUAGAGCCGAUGUCGGGUUAGCUAGUUGGCGGGGUAAAGGCCCACCAAGCCGACGAUCCGUAGCGGGUCUGAGAGGAUGAUCAGCCACACGGGCACUGAGACACGGUCCAGACUCCUGCGGGAGGCAGCAGUGGGGAAUAUUGGACAAUGGGCGCAAGCCUGAUCCAGCCAUACCGCGUGGGUGAAGAAGGCCUUCGGGUGGUAAAGCCCUUUUGGUGGGAAAGAAAAGCAGCAGGUUAAUACCCCGCUGUUCUGACGGUACCCAAAGAAUAAGCACCGGCUAACUUCGUG